UACUGCUAUUGGAGUUCGAUUAAGCCAUGCGAGUCAAGGGGACUUCGGUCACCGGCGGAAUGCUCAGUAACACGUGGACAAUCUGCCCUCGGGUGGGGAAUAAACCCGCGAAAGUGGGGCUAAUACCCCAUAGGCACAGAAGGCUGGAAUGCAUCUGUGCCCAAAGCUCCGGCGCCCGAGGAUGAGUCUGCGGCCUAUCAGGUAGUAGUCAGGGUCACGACCUGACUAGCCAGCGACGGGUACGGGCCUUGAGAGAGGUCGCCCGGAGAUGGACUCUGAGACACGAGUCCAGGCCCUACGGGGCGCAGCAGGCGCGAAAACUUCGCAAUGCAGGAAACUGUGACGAGGGAACUCCAAGUGUCCAUGCAUUGCAUGGACUGUUUGCCAGCCUAAAAAGCUGAUAGAGUAAGGGGUGGGAAAGACCGGUGCCAGCCGCCGCGGUAACACCGGCACCUCAAGUGGUAGCCACUAUUAUUGGGCCUAAAGCGUUCGUAGCCGGCUUGGUUAAUUCCUGGGUAAAUCGUACCGCUCAACGGUGCGGAUUCCGGGGACACUGCCAAGCUUGAGACCGGGGGAGAUCAGAGGUACUUGCGGGGGAGCGGUGAAAUGUUGUAAUCCCGCAGGGACCACCAAUGGCGAAGGCAUCUGAUCAAAACGGCUCUGACGGUGAGGAACGAAACCCUGGGGGCGCAAACGGGAUUAGAUACCCCGGUAGUCCAGGGCGUAAACGCUGCUGACUUGGUGUUGGGGGGUCCUGCGAGGGCGUCCAGUGCCGGCACGAAGGUAUUGAGUCAGCCGCCUGGGGAGUACGGUCGCAAGACUGAAACUUAAAGGGAAUUGGCGGGGGAGCACUGCAACGGGUGGAGCGUGCGGUUUAAUUGGAUUCAACGCCGGAAAACUCACCGGGGGCGACGAUUACAUGAAGGCCAGGUUGAUGACCUUGCCUGAUUUUUCGAGAGGUGGUGCAUGGCCGCCGUCAGUUCGUACCGUAAGGCGUUCUGUUAAGUCAGAUAACGAACGAGACCCUCAUUGCCAUUUGCUAGGCUCUUCUCAGGAAGGGUUGCACUAUGGCGAUACCGCCACUGCUGAAGUGGAGGAAGGAGGGGGCAACGGUAGGUCAGUAUGCCCCGAAUCUCCCGGGCUACACGCGCGCUACAAAGGGCAGGACAAUGGGCUUCGACGCCGAAAGGCGGAGGCAAUCCCGAAACCUGCUCGUACUUCGGAUUGAGGGCUGCAAUUCGCCCUCAUGAAGCUGGAAUCCGUAGUAAUCGCGGGUCAACAUCCCGCGGUGAAUAUGCCCCUGCUCCUUGCACACACCGCCCGUCAAACCACCUUAGUUGGGUCUGGACGAGGGCACGCCUUUUGGCGCGCUCGAAUCUGGGUUCAGCGAGGAGGGU
rnacentral:rRNA from 1 species